GCACCUUUAGCUCAGUUGGUAGAGCACCUGACUCUUAAUCAGGUUGUCCAGGGUUCGAGCCCCUGAAGGUGUACCA
rnacentral:tRNA from 1 species